UAGAUGAUGGCCUAAAUGUUAAGGCACUUGAUUGUUAUUCAAGAGAUUGUAGAAGUAUACUACUCAUUUAG
rnacentral:tRNA from 1 species